GGAAAACAUCAGUCCCUCAGAGAUCCAGACAUGGAUCUGAACCCAGCUGUGUGUCCUUUAAGAGCGAUGACUCAAAGCAUAUUUUUGUUGAAUUUAAAGGAGAACAACCUUCUGCUUCAAAGAGGAAAACAUCAGUCCCUCAGAGACCCAGACAUGGAUCUGAACCCAGCUGUGUGUCCUUUAAGAGCGAUGACUCAAAGCAUAUUUUUGUUGAAUUCAAAGGAGAACAACCUUCUGCUGCAAAGAGGAGGAAGCUGGAAAAGCAAGACUCAUCUGAACCAGAACUGGACUCUGUGUCCAUGAAGACUGGCUUCACUGGAAAACAUCCUGAUAAUUUAAGGAAAAGGCCCCGCCCUGUAGAUCAAAGCUAAAAGUUUUAAAGUGAUUGACAAAUGAAAGCAUGUGAUGGAUCAUUCAUCAUCUGUCCAGGUUUCUACAUUUACUGACUGACUUUGUUUUCAGCAGCACUCUGUCUCACACUCACAGUCAAACACAUUUAUACUGGGAGCUGCCCAGUACAAGCUCACACUGGCUCUGGGAGGAAUGAGGCUUUAUGAAGGAGCUGCUGGGAGCCUUUGGGACAAAACCAAAGUGAGCUGAAAGCUGCAGUCAGCUUCAGACAGAGCUGUUGAUUGUCUGUGGAAUCAGCAGGACUAGUAAACCUUUACUGCUGCAGGGAGUCCUCAGAUUCUCUGUCCACAUCCACAUGUGUCCUCAUGGACCUUCAGCUGGUGUUUCUUUGAUGCCAUUUUCAAACUAUUCCAGUCACGCUCCAGGACUCACCGUAGCACUGAAUCUACUGAAGGUUUUUAAUGACUUGAUGUGUUUUUAGACUCUGGUAUUUGUUCCAUUUUAAUUCUUUUAGGACUCAGAGCAGCUUUAGAUGCUGUUGAUCCUGGAAUUCUUUGAAUCCAUCUGAAGGAAGAGGUUGGAUCAGGUUCAGUGUGUUAAACUGGUUUGCCUCCUACCUGGCUGACAGGUCCUCUUCAGUCCAGAUUGUUCAUUACUCAUCAUCUGCACUGAUUACUUGUGGUGUAAACUUCAAUUCUAGGACCAGUUUUAUUCUCCCUCUACAUGCUCCUCUUGUCCUCCAUAAACAUUAGAUAUCAUUCCACUACGCUGAUGACACCCACAUUUAGCUGCCACUAGACCCUGAUGACACCACCUCCAUCUCCCAGAGGUGAAGCAGUGGAUGGACCAGAACCGUCUCCAGCUGAAUACUGUGGCUUUACCAGCCCACUCUGUAGAACAUACAGGCUGCACCACACCAUCAUUCUGUUAUGGAGGAAACACUCUGGCUGGGUUGGAUUUCUUGAAAUGAAUCCCAGUUUUCAUUGACUGAAAAUAGAGACAGCUGGACUUGUUGUGGAACAUUUGUGUGCAGAGAAACGACCACUGUGAUUACAGUAGAUAAUCUACUACAGAAACUAUCAGAGCUGCAUUACUGCACGAUCCAAAUACUGAGCAAAACUUGUGUUUUAGUUUCAUCUUAAAUUGAAACUGUUUGCUGUCCAGAGGUUGCUGUUGUUGUUUCCUGUGAUGAAGGAAACAGUAACUCACUGAUGGUGGAAGGAGGAGAAUGCCAACUUCAUGUUGGCCUCAUAUGAGCUUCAUCAGACCAACUGCUAAUAACUGUUCCAUGACUGAGGCUGCUGGUUGGUUGAACCUUUGCAGUCGGGUUAGAGUCCAAAGCUUUGGAACAGCCUUCCUCUUCUAAUCUGAUGAUAUUUUCAAUAACAACCUCAAGAUGUUCUGGUUUUAAAUGACUUCUGGCUGCUCUCAGUGGUCUUAAAACUUCAUAUUUAUUUAAAAAUUGAUCUUCCACGUUGCUAUCCUUUUUUUCCUGUUGUAGUAUUUUAUUCUGUGUAAUUUAGUUUUACUCAUUGAUUUUACGAGUU